AGUUACUGCAGUUAGCUGAACAGUGACAAACUGUGUCGUGGCAUUGUGUUGAAGACCGAUACCUUCUGAGGAGAGAAGAAAUCUGAAAUUUUCACACGUGUACUGAAAUCUGAAGAGACAAAAGGAAAAUUGACCGCAGUGCCGUACUGGAAUACCUCCCCAGAGUAAGCUACAGCUCCUGGUGGUCACAUUAGUGUUGUCUUCGUCAACCACACUGGGGACAGCUCUGACACUCAGCCCGUUGGUACAGAUUGACUUCUGUCCACAAGCUGGAGAAAUUGCUUUGCCAUGGAAAGCAGAGACCACCAAACCCAGAAAUCUUUACGAGUCUUGUGUAUACACCAAGAGACACUGGGAGUGCAGCAAUGGACCAUGAAGAAAGCUCUACUCCUGCCUUGGUAGCUCUGGAAUAAGUGAAAAAGAUAUUUUGUUUCUGGUCUUUUUUCUUCUUUUUUUUCUUCUUUUUUUUUUAAAUUUUAUUUUUAAGGUCUGUUGCUUUUCCAAUGCCCAGAAAUGCCUUCCCUGAAAGCGAUAAAAUUUGCAUUCA